CAGAGACUUGUUUGUCAAGCAACAACGCCUAUGAACCCCCUCCUCCUUCCUGGGGUGAAGAUUUUGAAAAUGAGGAUAACAAUCAAGUUGCGGCUCCUUGCUGGGACCAAGCAUAUGAAAAUCAAGACCAAGCAUAUGAAUAUCAAGACCAACCAUAUGAAGAUCAAGACCAAGCAUAUAAUGAAGAUCAAGACCAAGAAUAUGAAGAUGAAGACGAGAGGGAGGUUUGGUCAUCAGUAAGAGAGAGUGAUGACUUUGUGCCUCCGUUUAUUGGGGAAGAAUAUGCAGAGACUGAUG
rnacentral:lncRNA from 1 species